rnacentral:lncRNA from 1 species
UCUGCAGUUUGUUGUAGAAUCAUAGUGUCUUGGCAACCAAAGGCAGAUCUGGUGCUAUGGAGGACCUGCUUACUGCUAUGAGGUGUUACUUUAUAGAGGUCCUGGAGAAGCUGAUUGAGGCCACGUCAAUGUUGCAAGGAGACAUGAGACUCACAUCAGAGUUCUAUGGCUUAACAUGGGGGAUGGUGGAAAAAUCUUGGAAUUGAAUUUAAAAGACAACUGGGAAGGCAUAAAUAAUAUAGUGAAAAGAAACAGAGAUCGUUGGAGAAAUGUCUGAUUAUAAGAUAUUUCUAAGCCUGGUGAAGAAAUAUAUAAGAGAAGCCUGGAGAAGAACCAGUAAUACCAGAAAUCAGGGAGGGGCCCUGAAGAGAAAAGGAUAACAAAAGGAUGAAGACCUGUCCAAGGGACCCAGCAGCUAACUUGAAAGAGCUCUCAAUGGGUAAAGCUGGAGCAAUUUCAACAACAAAAUAAAUAACAUAUCACUGGAUUAUAACCUGAAGUAUAAAACGUAUGAGUCCAUACUCUUAUAAAUAAAUGAUUGAAUAAAUACAUAAAUGAGAAGAAGGGA